rnacentral:lncRNA from 1 species
AAGCAAGGUGUUGUGGUGAAAAAUUUUCACCUUUUAAGAGUAUUAUAAUAUUGAACAAUGGCCACCAAGGAAUUUACUUAUGAAAUUCCUAAAAUGAAACACUCAAGUCAGAAUGGAAUUUAUGGAGGUUUAAUCACAAUGGGAGUGGGGAAAGGAGAGGGAGAGAAGGAGAGAGGAGAAAAGGGAAAGGGGCUACUCAACCUCUGACCAAGGCAGAGGGAGUUUAGGCCCAAAGGGCCAAGGUGGAAGGAAUCAGUCCUUGACUCACGUGACCGAUCUGAAAGGAAGCUGUCUGCAGGCCUCCUCACUCUUCAAGCUUCUAACACAAACUCACGUCUAGCUCUCUCCACAGGAAGUGAGCGAAUUCCAGAGGCUGCUCUCUCCAUCACUUCCUGUGCCUCACACGUACCAAUGGUGGCUCAACCUUGGCUUAGGACAGCCCAGCUGCUGCCAGAGAGUUUGCUGAAUGCUAGGAGCACAGCAAAGACAAAAAUUGAUUCAUUUCUUCACCAUCACUACCUCUUGCCAGUAUCAUCUUUAUGCUGUAGUGGGAAGAGCAAUGAACUUGAGGUCAGAAGGCAAUGGCAAGUAAUGAGGCAAGUCAGGAAAAGGAUUUCCCCUCCUUGUGGCAACAUUGUGAUGCAUAGGAAAAUGCACUCAUAAGAGGGAAAUAAAAGCAAUGGACCAAUUCA